UUUAAUUUAUAGCUGUGUGAUUGACUUUGUUAAUCUCUUGCAUUUGAUUUUUUAUUUGUUUCUUUAUUUAUCUUUUAGAUUAAUUUGUUUUUAAAUUGUAGCAAAUGUUUAUCUUCGUGAUUGUUAAACCUUUUUGUCUUUUGCUCCUAUUUGAUAACCCACUUAUAAUGAAUUAUGGAUGUAAAUUUUUCUAUUUGCUUGUUUCACUUGGUUAAAUUGCUUGGCGUUUGGAAUUACAUAAUCAUUUCUUUUCUUGGCUUAUUUACCUGUUUGUUUAGAUGAUAUUGAGUGAAAUUGCACGUCUGCAUAGUGUUGAAUCAUGUUUAUUUCUUCAAAUUUUGGUUUUAUGUACUUUUCCUUGCUCUCUCUGGAUGGAACUUCACACAACAUGAAGGGAAGAAGCAUCCAAGAAAUUGAAUGUUUAUAUGAUUUGAUGGAACUAGUUUAUAUUAUAAAUGAGUUUAAAAUGAGUUCAAACAAGCUAAACUCGACUUGUUUACACCCCUAAUUUAGAUGUAUGAAGUCUUAUGUCUUGGAAUGAUGUGGAGUGUAGGGGUGAAUAAAUGAGGAACAAUUUGCUAUUUACAUGAAAUGGAAACUGGUAUGCUGGUUCCAAUAGUGGAUUUUGUGUGGCUUUUCGAGGGGGUAUAGAUUUGGAGGAAUUUUUUAUCUGGAUUAGAUAUUUCAGUAUUGUGAUUUAAUGUGUUAACAUUUUCCUAUUUAUUUUUUCCCCUCCCACCUUCUUGUUUUUGGUUUUGUUGUGGUGGAGAGUUACUUCCUUAUCUCCUAUAUUAAUCUUAGUUAUGGCCUUAUGAUCAGCUACUUGCUUAAGCACUCUUGGAUGCCAUAUUAUAUGAUUAAAUCUAUAUAUUUUGUAUUAUUGAUUCAGAUAAUUUUGAUGGAAGCUUUAUUUUUUAGAAUUCUUUUUCUUUCAUUUCCAUUUAUUUAAAUGAAUGCUAAUUAAGGGUUUUUCUCAUUUGUUCUUGCUUCAGUUUAGAUUUCUCUUGCAUAUGAUAUUUUUAAUGCUGAAGGGCAUUGUGUGAAGUUUUCUGGAUCAACUGUAGACUGUUACAAGUGAAUUGCAGUUGCUUUCUUAAAUAGCUUUCAUUUCUGUAGAAUAUCAAGAUAUGUCGAGUGGACCAGCAAGAAGGGUCUCAACCAAAGAUAUACAAGUGGUGCAAAAUCUGAUAGAACGGUGUCUUCAAUUGUACAUGAACCAGAGGGAAGUUGUCGAAACGUUAUUAGCUCAGGCAAAGAUAGAGCCGGGUUUCACUGAACUUGUUUGGCAAAAGCUUGAAGAAGAAAAUCGGGAAUUUUUCAAGGCAUAUUAUUUGAGACUGACGGUGAAGCACCAAAUAAUAGAAUUUAACAAGCUGCUUGAGCAACAGGUGCGAUUGAUGCGUCAGAUAAAUCCAACCGGAGUUGUUUCAAUGCCUACUUCUAAUGGAUCACAUAUGCCACCAAUUCACCAGAAUUCAGCAUGCUAUGCCACAGAGCAUACAGGACCAGCAUUGAAGCCGGAGAACAUGCAUCAUCCAUUUGGUUCCAGUAUGACUAAUGCAUUUACCAAUGGUGGAUCAGCGCUGCACUCAAGUAUGCGCACUGCUGUUGAUAUGUCUGCUCAUACCACUAGAAUUGAUGCCCCUCAAAACAUGCUUUCAACACAAGGCCCAAACAUGGGUUUGAUGCAAGGACUAAAUGGGGGAAUGAUCAAAUCUGAAUCUGGUUAUCCAGGCACUUCCCCUUAUAUGUUCAGUGCUGAUGGCAAUGUCCUGGAAGCACGUCCUUCAAUUCCAGAUGCAUCUGUUGCAUCUUUCAGUAGUGCAGAAUCUAAUUCACAAGCUCUGAAUGAACCACUUUUGGAUGCUGACACUUCUUCAUAUGGAUUUCUGGAUCAAAUUCCUCAAAGUUUCAGUCUCUCUGAUUUGACAGCUCAUUUUGCUCAGAGUUCAGAUAUUUUGGAGAACUAUCCAAGAUCGCCCUUCCUAGCAUCAGACAAUGAUAAUUUCUUGGAUUCUCGUGAGAGAGAACAUCAAGGAGAUAAUAAAAGGUUGGACACUAUAUCAGAAGGUGUGAGUUAUGAUGACUUUGGAAGCGAAUAACCGUAAAAUUUCAGUUGUCCAACUGUGCCCCUUGGCUAGGAGGUUUGUAAAUAGAAUUUUAGAAGGGAAGAAACUUCAGAUGUAGAACUCUAUGGAAGGUAUCGAUUGGUGUGUAAAAUUUUACUGGUUAGAAUUAUAGCAUAUGACAGCUUGACAUUAGGAUUGUUUAGGAUGAAAAGUAUCGAAAUGAUACGAUACAGAGCUCUCUUCUUUCUUCCCCAUCAUGAUUAGGAUGGAAUCAUGAGGUUGGUUGUGGAAAGUGAAACAGAAUUUUGCAUUUUGGUGUGAUGAUAAAGCUGUUCUUGUUGAUAGUUUGUGUUUUAAUAUGGAAAUUCUGCUUAUGUUUACUGAUGAUUGCAUAUUGGAUUCUAAUCUUCUGUAUAUAUAAUUGUAUGUCUGCUGAUACUUGGGAAGACAUUUAUUAUCCAUUAAACUAUCUUUAAAGCUUGCUGGUACUAGUAGUUGACACUUUAAAUUCUGUGGGCAAUUGACCAAAAGAAUUCAAACUUCAUUUCCAUUUUUUUUUUCCCUAAUACAUUUAUUUAUCAACAAUUUGUCAUUAUUCGAUUGAUCCAAAAAAAUAAAAAGAAAAAAAGAAAAAAAUCAAAUAAAAAGAAACCAGCUCCAAUCAAGUCUAGUUUUCCUUGAUGAAACCAUCUGGGGAGUUGCACUUGUAGUAUCCUUGAAUACAAGCACCAAGCAAUCCCUGUCACCAAUCCUUGUUACAGGAUGUUUUGUGAAUUUCACCGAUGAACGAUACCAACGAAAAUGCCAAUUCCACUUAUUUUCAGCACGCCCCGAGUAUUUUCUGUGCCAGCACCAUAAAAAAUUCUGUCCUCUUCGAUUUACCCCUUUAUUUUUUUUUCCAAAUAUGUACUGGAUUUCUUGUACUCAUUUGUCGACUGAUUCUAAGGUUCUGGAUGGGGUGAGGGAAGGAUAUGAUUAAAUAAAGGUUAAGAAGAGAGGGAAUGGUAAGGAUUGCUAUAAAAAAACAAAAAAUUUUCAUGUUUGAAAAGAGUUGGUUAAUGAAAAAGCAAAAGAGCAA
rnacentral:misc_RNA from 1 species